CCACUUUAUUCCUAAAACACCAGCCCCAGGCUGGGCCACUGGAUGGGUGACGCCAUGCAGCACCGGGUCUCUCUCCCAUUUCUCCUGCUUCUCACCUUCGGCCAAGAGCUCCAGUCUGACAUAGGAAAAGGCCGGAAUAGACACACUGUCUCCCCAAAGGUCUGCAGGCUUCAUGUGGAGAGGGGCCCUUGUCGAGCUCGAAUCCAACGAUGGUUUUACAACUCCAAUACUUCUGAAUGUGAGGUGUUUUUCUACGGAGGCUGCCAAGGCAAUGGGAACAACUUUUUGAAGAAAGAAACGUGCAAGGAAGCCUGCCAGUACACCCGGUUUCUUAAGAAAAGACUAGCCCUCCCCGGGGUCGGGGUUGCUCUCAGACAACUAUAGACAUUUGUGUGAACAAGAGAUGCAUUUCUCCACCCCAGGCUUAUUCUCCCUGCUGUGUUCUUAACAUCACUCAUCUCUGUGCUUGAAAUUCUAUAAAUAUUGCCAACGUG